UCAUUUUGUCACGCUUUUAAUAACUUACAGCCAACUUGAAUGACCCUGGCCCUCUGGGACUUGAGAGUUAUGUCAUCCCAGAUUCAAGUCUGACAGCUUCCAGUGAGUAUAAUGCUGACCAUGGUGCAAAGAGAGGUCGUCUUAACCUGGCCCGAGUCGGUAACCUGCGUGGAGCCUGGUCUGCACUAACAAACAAUGCCAACCAGUGGAUCCAGGUGGAUCUUUUGGACCUUUACCGUGUCAUUUCAGUUGCGACUCAAGGGCGAGAAGAUUUAAGCCAGUGGGUUACAAGCUACAAGCUUGCUUGUAGUACUGAUGGCACGAUCUUUCACACCGUGCAGGGAAUUUCUACAAAUCCUGGAGCUGACAGGAUCUUCACCGGUAAUGUUGACCGCAACACCAUCGUGACCAACACUCUUCCUGUGCCCCAGAUUUGCCGUUAUGUUCGCUUGAUGCCUGUCAGCUGGUUAAGCUACAUCAGUCUUCGAAUGGAGAUCUACGGUGAAGGCCCUCUCACAGCCAACUUGAAUGACCCUGACCCUCUGGGACUUGAGAGUUAUGUCAUCCCAGAUUCACUGU
rnacentral:lncRNA from 1 species